rnacentral:rRNA from 1 species
CCUACGGGAGGCAGCAGUGAGGAAUAUUGGUCAAUGGUCGGGAGACUGAACCAGCCAAGCCGCGUGAGGGAUGAAGGUACAGAGUAUCGUAAACCUCUUUUGUCAGGGAACAAAGGCGGGGACGUGUCCCCGGAUGAGUGUACCUGAAGAAAAAGCAUCGGCUAACUCCGUGCCAGCAGCCGCGGUAAUACGGAGGAUGCGAGCGUUAUCCGGAUUUAUGGGGUUUAAGGGGUGCUCAGGCGGUCUUUUAAGUCAGCGUGCAAAGCCCGGGGGUAAACCCAGCGCCGCCGUUGAAACUGGCAGUCUCGAGUUGGAGAGAAGUAGGCGGAAUGCGUGGUGUAGCGGUGAAAUGCAUAGAUAUCGCGCAGAACUCCGAUUGCGAAGGCAGCAUGCCGGCUCCACACUGACGCUGAGGCACGAAAGCGUGGGUAUCGAACAGGAUUAGAUACCCCGGUAGUC